UACGGAGGGGGCUAGCGUUGUUCGGAAUGACUGGGCGUAAAGGGCGCGUAGGCGGCGAUUCAAGUCAGAUGUGAAAGGCCUGGGCUCAACCCGGGAACUGCAUUUGAUACUGGAUUGCUUGAGUCCGGGAGAGGAUGGCGGAAUUCCCAGUGUAGAGGUGAAAUUCGUAGAUAUUAGGAAGAACACCAGUGGCGAAGGCGGCUCACUGGCCCGGUACUGACGCUGAGGCGCGAAAGCGUGGGGAGCAAACAGG
rnacentral:rRNA from 1 species